rnacentral:rRNA from 1 species
GUAGCGGUGAAAUGCGUAGAGAUGUGGAGGAACACCAGUGGCGAAGGCGACUCUUUGGUCUGUAACUGACGCUGAGGCGCGAAAGCGUGNNNAGCAAACAGGAUUAGAUACCCUGGUAGUCCACGCUGUAAACGAUGAGUGCUAAGUGUUAGGGGGUUUCCGCCCUUUAGUGCUGCAGCUAACGCAUUAAGCACUCCGCCUGGGGAGUACGGCCGCAAGGCUGAAACUCAAAGGAAUUGACGGGGACCCACACAAGCGGUGGAGCAUGUGGUUUAAUUCGAAGCAACGCGAAGAACCUUACCAGGUCUUGACAUCCUCUGACACUCCUAGAGAUAGGACGUUCCCCUUCGGGGGACAGAGUGACAGGUGGUGCAUGGUUGUCGUCAGCUCGUGUCGUGAGAUGUUGGGUUAAGUCCCGCAACGAGCGCAACCCUUGAUCUUAGUUGCCAGCAUUCAGUUGGGCACUCUAAGGUGAUUGCCGGUGACAAACCGGAGGAAGGUGGGGAUGACGUCAAAUCAUCAUGCCCCUUAUGACCUGGGCUACACACGUGCUACAAUGGAUGGUACAAAGGGCUGCAAAACCGCGAGGUCGAGCCAAUCCCAUAAAACCAUUCUCAGUUCGGAUUGUAGGCUGCAACUCGCCUACAUGAAGCUGGAAUCGCUAGUAAUCGUGGAUCAGCAUGCCACGGUGAAUACGUUCCCGGGUCUUGUACACACCGCCCGUCACACCACGAAAGUUUGUAACACCCAAAGUCGGUGGGGUAACCGUAAGGAGCCAGCCGCCUAAGGUGGGACAGAUGAUUGGGGUGAAGUCGUAACAAGGUAGCCG